UACGUAGGGUCCGAGCGUUGUCCGGAAUUAUUGGGCGUAAAGGGCUCGUAGGCGGUUUGUCGCGUCGGGAGUGAAAACUCAGGGCUCAACCCUGAGCGUGCUUCCGAUACGGGCAGACUAGAGGUAUGCAGGGGAGAACGGAAUUCCUGGUGUAGCGGUGGAAUGCGCAGAUAUCAGGAGGAACACCGGUGGCGAAGGCGGCCCACUGGGCCGGUACUGACGCUGAGGCGCGAAGGCGUGGGGAGCGAACGGG
rnacentral:rRNA from 1 species